UGUAAGUGAACUGCGGAGGGAUCAUUA
rnacentral:rRNA from 1 species